rnacentral:lncRNA from 1 species
GUCCAGCUUGUCGACCAUCAGGGAGUCCUUCGACUCAGUGCUCUAAGUAGAAAUUUGGAAGCACUGCCGAGCGAGUUGUUGAUCCCCGCAUAUCUCUCCAGCUCCAUUUUUAGUCAGGAACCGAACCAGUAGAUGGUACAUCGAGACUAUCGCUCUGAAGGCAUUUAGCUUGGCCUUCCAAGUAUGGCGUUGUACGUCGAAGGU